GCUGGGCAUGGUGGUGCAUGCCUGUAAUCCCAGUAGCUCAGGAGGCAGAGACAGGAUGAUCGCAAGUUCAAGGCCAGCCUCAGCAAUUUAGUGAGGCUGUAAGCACUUUAGCAACACCUUGUCUCAA
rnacentral:sRNA from 1 species